UACGAAGGGGGGCUAGCGUUGCUCGGAAUCACUGGGCGUAAAGGGUGCGUAGGCGGGUCUUUUAAGUCAGGGGUGAAAUCCUGGAGCUCAACUCCAGAACUGCCUUUGAUACUGAGGAUCUUGAGUUCGGGAGAGGUGAGUGGAACUGCGAGUGUAGAGGUGAAAAUUCGUAGAUAUUCGCAAGAACACCAGUGGCGAAGGCGGCUCACUGGCCCGAUACUGACGCUGAGGUGCGAAA
rnacentral:rRNA from 1 species